AUUGAACGCUGGCGGCAGGCCUAACACAUGCAAGUCGAGCGGAUGAAGGGAGCUUGCUCCUGGAUUCAGCGGCGGACGGGUGAGUAAUGCCUAGGAAUCUGCCUGGGAGUGGGGGAUAACGUCCGGAAACGGGCGCUAAUACCGCAUACGUCCUGAGGGAGAAAGUGGGGGAUCUUCGGACCUCACGCUAUCAGAUGAGCCUAGGUCGGAUUAGCUAGUUGGUGGGGUAAAGGCCUACCAAGGCGACGAUCCGUAACUGGUCUGAGAGGAUGAUCAGUCACACUGGAACUGAGACACGGUCCAGACUCCUACGGGAGGCAGCAGUGGGGACUAUUGGACAAUGGGCGAAAGCCUGAUCCAGCCGUGCCGCGUGUGUGAAGAAGGUCUUCGGAUUGUAAAGCACUUUAAGUUGGGAGGAAGGGCAGUAAGUUAAUACCUUGCUGUUUUGACGUUACCAACAGAAUAAGCACCGGCUAACUUCGUG
rnacentral:rRNA from 1 species